GCUAUAUUUGAUAAUACUGAGGAAAACGGCAACCAUUAACUGACGUGGUGAGCUCACUUAAGUUGACAGACGUUUAGCCCGCAGCUGUUCUUGAAGAAAAUGACUAAAUUUGCAUUUAGCAUUUACACAGAAGUACGAAGGAAACGUGACGCUGAGGCCCGUUCAUAAAGGCAGAGACGAGGGAUUUCAAGGACGCGUGGACUUCAAUUUAAUCGAAGAGGCUGAGAGUGGAGUGGAAGAGUGACACACAGAGGAGAGAAGUUCAUUAUUCCGCUGAAAAGGAAACCAAUGGCUUUCACAGUCACCAUGACAAAAGGCUGGCUGGGCCCCUGCCAUCUGAUCUCCAUCCAUCCACAGGUGAACUCCUUCCACCAGCCAGGCAAACCUGACUUUCAAGUCUCCCACCCACACCUAUUGGACUGCUGUCCUCUCACCUGUGCAAAUAUGAAAGAGAGAUGGAGAGAGAGGGUUUGGGCCUGAAAGACGUGCCAGACCUGCUGCCAAAGCAUCGGCCUCCACCUCACCCUGCAGACAUGGCUGAACACACACACGCAUGCAUACACACACAAAUACACACACACACACACACACACACGCAAUCAGGAAUCACGCAUAUCUAUCAGAUUAUUUUAUUUUUAUUAUAUUAUUUUAUUAUUUUCUAGCAUUUAAGCUUAUUCUACUUCCUCAUAUUUCCACACACCUACCACGCAACCCUGCCCAAGACCCUUAACUGUACAAACACUCACACAAACACACACAUUCUUGCCAUCUCUUCAUUCUGCAUAUCUCUGUUUCUGAUGAUGGAGCUGUCACACACUCUCAUGCAACAUGUCAGACGUAGACACAAUCAGGCAACAUUCACACGGUCUUCCUUGACAAAAACAUAAACACACACAUGCGUUCAGUUUGUCAGUUGUCUCUCAGGCAUGCCCUAUUUUUAAAACUGUAAGCACACCUACACACAUUCUCCCAUGCUUGGGCACACCCACUGCGGCCCAUGUCAUGCUGUGAGAUGGUCCUCGUCUGAGAGAGCACCCUGCGCAGUUGCGAGGCAGGGAAAAUUAGUCAGGUGAAGUAAAUCUCGACACCUGACACUAGUGGUCUCUCUUUAAAGUUGUUUGCACCACCGCCCCCAUACUUAAUGGAACAGCACCUACUGAUUAUUGCAUGCUCUGAGCUAGUCUGAUAAUUGCAUGGUACAUACCUGUCCAGGGUGUAAGCCCAUCCGCUGAACACGGGGCCCCUGUGUUACAUGGCUCACGGUAUUGUUGUAACAUAGAGAGGGAGCCUCCUGUCAUUCAGUAUCAGUCAUUGUCAGUGUGCAUCCCCACUCUGUGGUGCAUGUGUGUCCUAAAAUUGAAAAGGUGAAUUCAUACACAGUUUCUCAGAGUCCUUAACUUGCCCUCACACUGAUAUCCUGUUCAAGAAAGUUAUGGAGAAAAAUAAUACGAGGGAAGGUGCAUACAUUUACGCUCUGUGCUUUAAUCAUAAUCUGUUUGUGAACAGGCAUCUAAAAUAGCCAAUAACCACAACUCAGAAGCUGAAGAUAACACAAGGAAAUAGAAUCACCCCUUUAAAUAGAAGUCAUGAAGGUUUUCAACAGCCAUUUGGCAUGUGAAUCAGUACGCAGUUCUUAAACCUGCGGUUAUUUUCAUGACAUCUGAAUGAGUCAGACUCUGUGGGCAUGUGUUUAGCUGUUGGUGACGUCUGUGGUAGUACAGUGUGUAGUUUGUAACCAGAAAAGCAUUGCAAAUAUUAUAUCGGAAGACUCUUUUGAAGUUAUUUUGGGUGGUUUGUUAUCUCAACAUCAGUCUCAUUUCUUAACUUUAAAUCAGAGACGCUGCUUAUCUUUGUGUCCAAUAAGAUUAUAUCAGUGGCUGGUUUUGACUCUUUCUUAUCUUGCAGUUGCAAAACUACUUUAAAACGCCUACCCUUUAUUUUUUAUCCGCUUGUCUAGUUGCUAAUAUAUUGUCUUUGUAUCACAAAAUGAAGAUUUUAACCUUUAUGUAACCAAUAUAAGUCAAUUAUGAGCAAUUUCUUACUAAUGGCUUAGUAAAACGUCUCUUAAUGAGGAAGUGUAGGGAAAGAGGAGUAAUCUGUCGCUAUUAAUAGGGAAAAAUAGAUGACAAGGUUAGCAGUAAAUGAAGGCUUGCACAGGAAUCAAACUGUGUAAUUUCAGAGUAUUUGACAGCUUGUUCCUGGGAGAAGCAAACUGGAAUGAGGAGUGGCCACAGAAGUUUGUCACAUAAGCUCUGUCUGAAAACACAGUGAAUGCACUUAGUGCAUUACUGACAAUUUCAGCCUUAUAUUGGAGGUAAACAAUGGAAACAUACCAGUACUAAAAUGUUAAGAAUGGAAGUAACUUUUUUUUUUUAACCAUCCACCAACCACUGUUUUAUGUUCCACUGUAUUAUUUUUUUCAUUUUGAUGUAAGGCCACAUAUGAACAUCACAUGGCACUAAGUGUAACCCUCAUUAACUCACAUAUGUAGAUCCUUUAAUUUUUAUCUAGCAUUUCUAAAUCAGCAUUUCUCAUUGUCUGCUCACUCAA